AAAAAUUAUUCCAUCUUCAACCUCCGCUCCUCUAUAAUCGACACCACCAUGCUUUUGUUAUGAUGUGUGUUUUUUCACUUUCUCCAACGCUAGUCACCCAGUUGGCUCCGCACAUCUACUUCACGCCUCCUUUUGAUAGGAACUAAGUCGGAUGUUCAUUUUAUAGAUACAGCUCCACCGGUCCUCAUAUCUUCUCUCCAGCUUGGCAGAAGGGUCCGGUGACAACUGACAUGAGGGAAAAAAGAAUUGCUCCUACAACUCAAAAGUUCGAGAAGAAAACAUCAGUGGCUCAAUAUUUUACCAUCUUUUUCCAAAAUUUUGAAUUUUUUGUAUAAUGAGCUUUCAUAAGUUUAUUCAAGUGUUGUGUUGAGUUCAAAACUUGUAUAAAUCCAAAUUCAAGAAAAGAAGCUCAUACAAACAGGAUAAACAUGAUCUAAUUGCUUUAAGAUUGACCAUAAGGGAAUUCCUAACUAAAGAAUGGUUUGUCUAGGAAAAACGAAUGCUUAAUGGAAUUUAAUCAUCGUUCGUUCAUUUUGUAUGUAUGCAUGUUUUGAAUACUCAUGAAUAGUUUUAAGAGAUUUAUAAUUUUGCUUA